AAUGCAGGAGGUUUGCCCAUCUCUACUGGUGAUGCACCAACAAAACGGCCCAAGUAUCAGACGAAGAAGGUGAAGUCACAUCCCUCUCAAGCAAAUGGUGCUGCCCCUUCUAAGCCAGAUGAAAACACCGAAGCAAAGGAAAGCCUGCCAGAAACUGUGUCUGAGGUGGAUUCCUUGGAACCAGAGAAGCUUGAAGAAGUGGACUCAGUGGAUGUUGAGGAGAAAUUGGAAAUCACUAAUGCAACUGAAGAGAAUGGGGUUGAAGAAGAAGAAGAUGAUGAAGAAUGGGAUGCAAAGAGCUGGGAUGAUGCAGUAGUCACACUGCCUGAUAAAAGUGCAUUUGCUGAUGAAGAGGCUGACUCUGAGACUGAGCCUGUGGUGAGAAAAGAGACGAAGGUUGCAGCACUGCCUGCAUCUCGCAAUGUUGGGGUCACAACUGCUGCUGCCAAGACCUCCAUUGUGCCAAAAACAGCUGUUCCUACCCAGCCAAUCAAGACUCAGGAUGUUAGAAGUGAGAAAAGCCAGAUCGAGAUUGAAGUUACAAAUAAAAGUAGGAAAAAAGCAGCACCAAGUUCAGAUGCCUCUCCCCAAGGAACUGAAGAGAACCUUCGUUCUCCAAUUUGCUGCAUCAUGGGUCAUGUUGAUACUGGUAAAACCAAGCUGCUAGAUUGUAUUCGAGGCACUAAUGUUCAGGAAGGUGAGGCUGGGGGUAUCACACAACAAAUUGGUGCAACAUAUUUCCCUGCAGAAAACAUAAGGGAGAGAACUAAGGAACUGAAAGCUGAUGCAAAUCUGAAGGUCCCUGGUCUAUUGGUUAUUGAUACCCCUGGGCAUGAAUCCUUCACUAAUUUGCGGUCCCGGGGUUCAGGCUUAUGUGACAUUGCGAUUUUGGUGGUGGAUAUUAUGCAUGGAUUAGAACCGCA
rnacentral:lncRNA from 1 species